rnacentral:rRNA from 1 species
AGUGAACGCUGGCGGUAGGCCUAACACAUGCAAGUCGAACGGCAGCACAGUAAGAGCUUGCUCUUACGGGUGGCGAGUGGCGGACGGGUGAGGAAUACAUCGGAAUCUACUUUUUCGUGGGGGAUAACGUAGGGAAACUUACGCUAAUACCUCAUACGACCUACGGGUGAAAGCAGGGGAUCUUCGGACCUUGCGCGAUUGAAUGAGCCGAUGUCGGAUUAGCUAGUUGGCGGGGUAAAGGCCCACCAAGGCGACGAUCCGUAGCUGGUCUGAGAGGAUGAGCAGCCACACUGGAACUGAGACACGGUCCAGACUCCUACGGGAGGCAGCAGUGGGGAAUAUUGGAAAAUGGGCGCAAGCCUGAUCCAGCCAUACCGCGUGGGUGAAGAAGGCCUUCGGGUUGUAAAGCCCUUUUGUUGGGAAAGAAAAGCAGCAGGUUAAUACCCCGCUGUUCUGACGGUACCCAAAGAAUAAGCACCGGCUAACUUCGUG